rnacentral:rRNA from 1 species
UGGGGAAUUUUGGACAAUGGGCGAAAGCCUGAUCCAGCAAUGCCACGUGUGUGAAGAAGGCCUUCGGGUUGUAAAGCACUUUUGUCCGGAAAGAAAUCCUUGGCUCUAAUACAGUCGGGGGAUGACGGUACCGGAAGAAUAAGCACCGGCUAACUACGUGCCAGCAGCCGCGGUAAUACGUAGGGUGCAAGCGUUAAUCGGAAUUACUGGGCGUAAAGCGUGCGCAGGCGGUUUGCUAAGACCGAUGUGAAAUCCCCGGGCUCAACCUGGGAACUGCAUUGGUGACUGGCAGGCUAGAGUAUGGCAGAGGGGGGUAGAAUUCCACGUGUAGCAGUGAAAUGCGUAGAGAUGUGGAGGAAUACCGAUGGCGAAGGCAGCCCCCUGGGCCAAUACUGACGCUCAUGCACGAAAGCGUGGGGAGCAAACAGGAUUAGAUACCCUGGUAGUCCACGCCCUAAAACGAUGUCAACUAGUUGUUGGGGAUUCAUUUCCUUAGUAACGUAGCUAACGCGUGAAGUUGACCGCCUGGGGAGUACGGUCGCAAGAUUAAAACUCAAAGGAAUUGAC